AGGGUUUCUGUUCCUGUUUGCUUUUGUUUGAGACACUGAGCCCCCCUCUUACCAGGAUCAUCUGUCUGCCUGGUGGACGAGCUGCAUCCUGCCCACUGCAACAAUUUCACAUAGAGAUGUACUCAGAUGCAUGGAGCUCGUAACGAUAAUUACCCUGCAGCUGCGCUCCAGGGCCCUGGGCUGCAGUUUCUCACCGUGCCACCAUUGUGUCUGUGCGCAAAGAAGCAAGAAUGUGGGAAGGCUGCAGGAUGAAAAAUUGCUGGACGAGAUCAGCGGGACUCACUGAGUGGGACGAGAAAAAUAGCCAGGCCAGUGAAGAUGGAUGGGUGACAGUCCCAUCGGACACAGCGAUUCAGAACUCCAUCACCACGGAGACAAGCAGUGAAAUCGGGAAUGCUGAAAGCCCACAACAGGAUAGGGGAAAAAUAUAUUAAAAAAGAGAGUAGAUGUUUUAGAAGUUUUAGAAGUGUAAAUCGCAAGCAUUACUUUGGGGUUCUAUGAUUUUUAGUAUUACAGACACAAAUCUCAUGUUUUGUGUUGUGAUUUUUUUUAUUUAUUUUUAGAUUAAAAAAAAAUAAUAAUAAAAACAUAAUUUAACUUAAAGUAAUGUAAUGUAAAGUAAUGGAGACUAAACACAUUAAAUAAAUGUCCCCCAUCAAAAUGGUGAUAUGAUAAGUAAAUAAGGCUAAUUUGCAACCCUGUAUUGUAAUUGAAAGAUUUGCAUUUUUAUGAUUAUUUACUGUUUAUUUCGAUGUAACCUUUUAUAGUCUAUAUUUAGUUAAUGAAUGAAUGAAUGAAUUCUUGAAUUAAUUAAUUUG